rnacentral:tRNA from 1 species
UAGGUGUAAAAAAGACUUCUAAUCUUAUACAAGCAUAACAAUGCUACACUUAAU